rnacentral:rRNA from 1 species
AUGCCCGCGGCUACCGGCAACUACCCAGCUCCGGCGCCGGCCACCGCGACGCCGAUGCCAUCCAUGCCUGCGGCAGCUGGUCGCUGCCCCGCUCCGGCGUCAACGGUUGCUGCUGUCGACAUGCCCGUCCCCGUGGCGGCUCCGUCCCUCCUCCAACCGGCCGCGGCCCAGAGCUCGCGUCCAUCACCACCGAACUCGCUCCCCUCCGAGCCAGCGCUCGUGGACCCUUCGGCACUGUCGUUUGCCGCCGCUGCAGUAGCUGCGGUUGCACUUGCUUGCCGCAAGUCGGACCCGGCCAUAGGAGGGUGGAAGGCUCGCUCCCAGGGGGGCCUGGAUCCCUUUGCUUCGCUGCCUGCUAAACGCCCUUGCCUGCCCGGCGGCCAACUUACUGCACUCGCUGCUCCUGGUUGGGGGGAUUGGCGUGGAUGCUUCCAUCGUGAUGAGACAUCUGUUGUUCUGGAGUGUGAGCUUGGGGGAUGGCAGACUGUCUCGAAGGGGCGCCGCUCGCCGCCUCCUACUACUCUUUAUCGCCCUUCCAUCAAUGUGCGGCGUUCCCCUCCAGCAUGGCUAAGAGACAGGUGUUUUCGGUGUUUCUGUCAAGGUCAUCGUGCACACUCCUAUAGGGAUCCAAUCCGAUGCAUUGACUGCCUUCGAUCUGGACACAUCGCUCGCUUCUAUCGUGCUAAGAAGCCUGUCCACCAAGCUUUGCCGCUCGAAUGUCAUGCUCCAUCGCCCGCAUCCACCGGUGAUGUCUCGAUGAUAGAUGUGCAGUUCCAGUCUAUCUCGGCUGAGCAAGUCGGCUUGGUGGAGGAGACCGGGAUGCUUUGCAUUGAGCUUCACGACUGCCUUGUGCGCGUUGGCAGUGUUUUGGGGAGGGCGGAGGCCGCUCUUUCGAAACUAGAGGUGGUGCCGGAUGUGUCUUCGCUGCCUGAGCUUCAGAUGGGGUUGUGCCUGAUGUGUCCAUGCUGCCCGAGAUCCAGGUUGGCUCUGUCGAUGUGGAAGCUGGCAUAUAUGGAGAUCUCUCCCCUCGUGUUAUAG